GACAAACGCUGGCGGCGUGCGUAAAACAUGCAAGUCGCACGGGUGCUUCGGCACCAGUGGCAGACGGCUGAGUAACGCGUAGGAACCUGCCCACCAGUGGGGGACAACCUGCCGAAAGGCGGGCUAAUACCGCAUACGACCGCCCCUUCAGGGGGGAGGAAAGCCGCAAGGUGCUGGUGGAGGGGCCUGCGUCCGAUUAGCUAGUUGGUGGGGUAACGGCCUACCAAGGCGCCGAUCGGUAGCUGGUCUGAGAGGAUGAUCAGCCAGACUGGGACUGGGACACGGCCCAGACUCCUACGGGAGGCAGCAGUUAGGAAUUUUGGGCAAUGGCCGCAAGGCUGACCCAGCAACGCCGCGUGGGGGACGAAGGCUCUCGGGUCGUAAACCCCUUUUCCCAGGGACGAUAGUGACGGUACCUGGGGAAUAAGCCCCGGCUAACUACGUGCCAGCCGCCGCUGUAAUAC
rnacentral:rRNA from 1 species